GCUGACACAUCCCAGCCAAUCUCCAGCAGACCCUCCCUCCCAGACCCUCCCACCUCCUGGACAGCAUCCAUGUUGAAGCUGCCUUCAACAUGGAUGCUGUCCAGGAGGUGGGAGGGUCUGGGAGGGAGGGUCUGCUGGAGAUUGGCCGGGAUGUGUCAG